GUUUUCUGGAUACCAAAAUUUUGAACCCGUUCGGAUAUUUAAUCAAUUUUGGUUCGGUUUUGGUACUACUUUUUCGGAUCGAGUUCGGUUCGGUUCUUCGGAUUCGAGUUUUUUGCCCAGCCCUAAUAAACGUGUUGGUGCUUUCGUGUGGGUUUGGUCUUAAGAUUAUAUGUAGGAUUAAUACAUUUCAUAUCAACAAAGCUAGUAGUCGACUUAUUUAUAUGAGCCAAUUAAUAAUUUUCCUAGAGAAACAUAAGCAAUUAAAAGACAUAAAGUAUUGACAACUCAGCAAGUUUAAAAUGUAUAAUACAAAAUAAAAGGUUACAUCUUUGUAAAUGAUCCUCAAAUAAUAUAUAAGGGAUUCUAAUACGUUGAAUGUAAAGAAACAGAUUGUAACAUCCCAAAACUCCCCAAAAGUUUUUGGGUUUAAAAGGGAAAGCCCAUCCUACGACCCAUUAGGUUAACCUAAUGUACCCUAUUAACCCUUUUCCCUAUAAAUAUUAGCAUCCACCUCUUUAGUCUCUCAUCAGAAAUUCCAGAAUGAAACUUUUGCAGAGAUUCCCGAAAAUAAGAAAACCCUAGCCAUCAAGACCUCCUCUCUCUUGCAUCUCGCGCCGUCUCUCUCCCUCCUAUCUCUCUCUCCCGCCGCGUCCUCUCUCUCUCUCCUCUCCAAGCUCUCUCUAUCUCCUCUCCAAGCUCUCUCUCUCUCCUCGUUGAAUCCAAGGCGGUGGUCGCGAGUUGUUGUUCUCGGAUCUCGUCUCUCUUGUUCUCUUGUUCUGGAUCUGUUCAGAUCUAAUCUUAGGGAUUCUUUGGAACUUGUCAAAUAUGCGGAAGGCGAAUACCAAUCUUGGUUUAAUGCGUAUGAGUCAACGCCCUUACCUCCACAGGAGCAUCCAAACCAAGAGCAACAAGUCUUAAGCUCGGAUAAUAUAUGUAUGGUAGAUGGUUCAUAGACCUCUACAUCUCGAUUCAGUGGAUGUGGAUGAGUUUGGAUGGAUAGUUUGGAUAAAAUUCAACUCUUGGGAAUGCAGAACUUAAGAAGGCGAGAGGCUGGUCUACAGACAUAAUUGGAAGCACUGAGAUGGUCUACACACAUUUGACAUGUCAGAACUUUGGGACAUACUAAAAGGAUUUAAUUGCAAUGCUAAAGAACCCUCAGGCUUGGCCAAGUUUUACAAAAGAAUUGGAGGUUAUACUUACUCUUCAAAUAUGCUUUCUGGACUUCAAGAUUAAUUACAUCCCAAAAGCGAGAAAUGAAAUUGCUGAUUCUUUAGCUAA